rnacentral:rRNA from 1 species
AGGGUUUGAUUCUGGCUCAGGAUGAACGCUAGCGGCAGGCCUAACACAUGCAAGUCGAGGGGCAGCACGGUGUAGCAAUACAUUGGUGGCGACCGGCGCACGGGUGCGUAACGCGUAUACAAUUUGCCUUAUACUGGGAGAUAGCCCGGAGAAAUUCGGAUUAAUAUCCCAUAAUAUUUUUUCACCGCAUGGUGAGAAUCUUAAAGCUACGGCGGUAUAAGAUGAGUAUGCGUCUGAUUAGCUAGUUGGUGAGGUAAUGGCUCACCAAGGCGACGAUCAGUAGGGGGCCUGAGAGGGUUAUCCCCCACACUGGAACUGAGACACGGUCCAGACUCCUACGGGAGGCAGCAGUGAGGAAUAUUGGUCAAUGGAGGCAACUCUGAACCAGCCAUGCCGCGUGUAGGACGAAUGCCCUCUGGGUUGUAAACUACUUUUAUUGGGGAAGAAACCCUCUUACGUGUAAGAGGCUGACGGUACCCAAGGAAUAAGGACCGGCUAACUCCGUGCCAGCAGCCGCGGUAAUACGGAGGGUCCAAGCGUUAUCCGGAAUCAUUGGGUUUAAAGGGUGCGCAGGCGGUAAAGUAAGUCAGUGGUGAAAUCUC